rnacentral:lncRNA from 1 species
UCUGUCACAUAAACAGCUAUUUUCAAGCAUUACAUAUCAUGUUCAUCCAACAGGGAAAGUGGAGAACCCCUCCAUUAUAAUUUUCCUCAUGAAAAAAAGCAACAAAGAUGAAGAGGCAAUAUUUUUCAUAUAUAUGGAUCCUCUCUGUUAGCAGGAUCUCUGUAAGGAAAGCCUCCACUUGUACAACAGCCCCUCCUCGUGAGAACCUUUCCUUUAGUGUGAAGACAGCAAUGACGGGGACAGCACAACCUCCUCUCCACAUGUUGGAUCAACAUGGAAAUUAGGGAUGCUUGAAGUUCUGCCUCCCAGGCCAAACACCAUAGCCAGUCUUGGAAGCUCUGCAUUUUGACUCAGAACAGAUAUGAUCAUCAGAUUCUCCACCUCUGGUAAUAAAACGUCAUCAGCUAGCCCUGUUUUUCA